GUGAAUCAUCGAAUUUUUGAACGCAAAUUGCACUUUUUGGUAUUCCGGAAAGUAUGCCUGUUUGAGGGUCAGCUACAUUAUAAUGGGCGUUGUUGUUUUCGGUAGUGGUGUGUGAUGCAUGGGAAUUGAGUCGUUCUUUACCUUUGGUUUAAGUGAUUUAAACUUAUGUUCGAUUUUUGAACGUAUUUAAAUUAUUACUUACGUUCGUAAUAUAACAUAUUAGGUGCGGUUAUUCACAUGAUUUCGCGUCUAUAAUUUU
rnacentral:misc_RNA from 1 species